AGCCUCCGAUGGUUCCAGGGUACCAGGCCACUAGAGGAGCACAGCUGGACCAGCAAGACCUUCUUAGAGCAAUGGAAUGCUAAUAACUUUGCACAUGAAGACCGAUCCCCUCUUGCAUGAGCUUGGAUCCCCACGAGCUCCCCAAUAUGCAAAAACUGGACAAGAAACCAGCCAAGGAAUGCAGAGUGAGCCUGUGCAUGCUACCAUGGGACCACCUGCCUGUCUGCUGAGCUUGAAUGGACUGAAAGACCACCACUCUGGACCACCACACCUGGAACUGAUCUCCAGUCUCUUAACACACAUAGGAGGCAAAGGCUUCCUGUUGUGACAGGUGAUGCUGAUUCUGAGCCGACCACAGUCUGGCAUCUCCUGAUUUGUCAACAGCAGCAAUCACUUCAGAGAAACCGGAUGGACAAGGGGGGCUUAAUCAUGGAAACCCCCUACUGUACCAAGCAUGCCCAAUACCACUGGACAGCAGGCCUGGCUAAGCAACUCAUUCCUGGAAAAUGCUAAAUGAUUUUGUUGCUGAGGGGUAUUUUGCUGCCUAUGCCAGUUUUGGCGGAGGGGAGAAAUUAAUUGAGGCGAGAUAAUAUUCUAUAAAAAUAUAUAUUUAUUAAACUCAAUAUUCUGAA